rnacentral:rRNA from 1 species
CCUACGGGUGACAGCAGUGAGGAAUAUUGGUCAAUGGGCGCGAGCCUGAACCAGCCAAGUAGCGUGAAGGAUGACUGCCCUAUGGGUUGUAAACUUCUUUUAUAAAGGAAUAAAGUGAGGCACGUGUGCUUUUUUGUAUGUACUUUAUGAAUAAGGAUCGGCUAACUCCGUGCCAGCAGCCGCGGUAAUACGGAGGAUCCGAGCGUUAUCCGGAUUUAUUGGGUUUAAAGGGAGCGUAGGUGGGUUGUUAAGUUAGUUGUGAAAUGUUGGGGCUCAACCCUGGAACUGCAUCUAAUACUGGCGAUCUUGAGAGCAGAUGAGGUAGGCGGAAUGCGUGGUGUAGCGGUGAAAUGCUUAGAUAUCACGAAGAACUCCGAUUGCGAAGGCAGCUUACUAAACUGCCACUGACGUUGAUGCUCGAAAGCGUGGGUAGCAAACAGGAUUAGAUACCCGGGUAGUC